ACAAGCGGUGGAGCAUGUGGUUUAAUUCGAUGCAACGCGAAGAACCUUACCUGGUCUUGACAUCCACGGAAGUUUUCAGAGAUGAGAAUGUGCCUUCGGGAACCGUGAGACAGGUGCUGCAUGGCUGUCGUCAGCUCGUGUUGUGAAAUGUUGGGUUAAGUCCCGCAACGAGCGCAACCCUUAUCCUUUGUUGCCAGCGGUCCGGCCGGGAACUCAAAGGAGACUGCCAGUGAUAAACUGGAGGAAGGUGGGGAUGACGUCAAGUCAUCAUGGCCCUUACGACCAGGGCUACACACGUGCUACAAUGGCGCAUACAAAGAGAAGCGACCUCGCGAGAGCAAGCGGACCUCAUAAAGUGCGUCGUAGUCCGGAUUGGAGUCUGCAACUCGACUCCAUGAAGUCGGAAUCGCUAGUAAUCGUGGAUCAGAAUGCCACGGUGAAUACGUUCCCGGGCCUUGUAC
rnacentral:rRNA from 1 species